UAUGUUUUGUCAAAAUUACAUGUUGUGCCACCGGCAAGUCAUCCCAAAGCGUUACCCAUCGAACGGAAAAAAAAAAACAGCUGUUCGUCCCGGCAUCUUCACUUUCCCCACCCCAAUCCGAUGCUGAGCUGCGGCCUGCCGGACCUCGCACCGCCCGUCGUGCUCCCGCAGCCGCUCCAGGACAGGAGUUCUUCGAUCCCUUAGCACGCCGGCCCAGAUUGGCACCGAUCCAUCCUUACCUCUUUUCCCUCUCCAAUCUCGAGUUCUUUUUAUGUCCCUGGUUCUGGAUCUGGAUCAAUUCAUGUGUUCGCCACCUGUCUUCGAAGCAGAUGCAGCGUCAGGCUCCGUUGCCGGUGUGGCUAGAUCCCAGGCCGUGUCCAGCACCAGGCCGUUCAGCGACGUUGUCUUCAACCCCGUGGCCCUGGCUGCCUCGGUGCUGCGGCUGCACAUCCGGGAGUGGCAGCGGAGCUGGCCGAACAGAAUCUCACUAGCGCCAAGCGCGGGGUGAGCGAUCUCACACCAGACCUCCUUCGUACCGCUGCGGGUGCGAUGCAGACAACAUAGACAUAUAUGUACACACCACGGGAACAUGCAUGGCCAUCGUGAUGUUUCCGUCAUGGCUGCGAUAAGAUCAAGAGGAGGACGUGCACCUCAAUCAAUCACCGCAAGCACCUGGAUGCUUUGCUUCGUGCAUGGACACACUGACUUCAGUUUUUACAGUACUGACGUGUGGUGUAUUUUUUUCACGGAAGAACUGUCUUGAAAAUCCCCAAAACAAGCUACACUUUUUGGCCCAAA